rnacentral:SRP_RNA from 1 species
CCGUGCUAGAUGGGGAGGUAGCGGUGCCCUGUAACCUGCAACCCGCUAUAGCAGGAUUGAAUUCCAACCCUAGGCUUGCGCUCGUAGGGUCAUGGUCCGAACAAGUGAUGAGGAUGGUUUGGUCCUACGCAACAAAAACCCAUGAACCCUGUCAGGUCCGGAAGGAAGCAGCAGUAAGUGGACAUUUUUGUGUGCCGUAGGGGUGCCUGACCGGAGUUAACUAUUCGGUUACCGCCUGUGGGUGUCUUGUCGAAGGUAGGUGCACGG